UGGUAGUGUAUUGGACAACCAUGGCUUUCACGGGUAACGGAGGAUUAGGGUUCGAUUCCGGAGAGGGAGCCUGAGAAACGGCUACCACUUCUAAGGAAGGCAGCAGGCGCGUAAAUUACCCAAUGCUAAUUCAGCGAGGUAGUGACAAGAAAUAACGGGCUGGAGUUAUACUCCGGGACUGAAAUGAGUUUAAUUUACACCACUUUUCGAGGAUCAAUUGGAGGGCAAGUCUGGUGCCAGCAGCCGCGGUAAUUCCAGCUCCAAUAGCGUAUAUUAAAGUUGUUGCAGUUAAAAAGCUCGUAGUUGGAUUUCUGGCAGGAUGACAAUACCGGCCGCCUGGCUUGUGUUGCGUUGUCCUACCAUCCUUCUGUUAAACCUAGCGGAGUUUCAUUACUUUCUAGGCAGCUCAGAUAUUUUACCUUGAGAAAAUUAGAGUGUUUCAGGCAGGCUAGCGCCGGAAUACAUUAGCAUGGAAUAAUAGAAUAGGACUCAUCAUCUUUCUGUUGGUCUGAAGGUUGUGAGUAAUGAUUAAUAGGGAUAGUUGGGGGCAUUAGUACUUAACUGUCAGAGGUGAAAUUCUCAGAUUUGUUAAAGACUAACUUAUGCGAAAGCAUUUGCCAAGGAU
rnacentral:rRNA from 1 species